GUGCUGAGUGCUACUGUUGCGAGAAUAAGAAUGCCGACUGUUACAAGACGAAGAGUGAGUGCCUGCAGAAGUGCCAUUCCUACAACGGUUAAUGCCCACCUUCAUCGCGGUCUCUGGGAUAGAAUUCCAUAUGCUCGGAAAAUUUGUCCGUAGGUAAUAAAAGGCACCUUAUAUGGUUUGGGCAAUUAGGUCCCAAUUAAACAUUAGAUAGCCGGCAUGUUUCCGUGGAGAUCCAACAAGGAAAAAUUUGAUGAAAGAAAUCCGAGUAACUAGUUGUCUUGCAUAUUUACAAAGUUCAAAUCCUUUGGUUGUUGUGCUUUGACUCGAUUGUCUAUUAUGCCAUUUCAUUUACUUGCACAUUGCCCACUUGUUCAUUUAACACACAUCACCCACUUGGUGAUUUGCCAGUUGUGGGCUGACAGCCAUAUAGAUUUAUUUUUUUGAGAUCUCGUCAUAUAGAAUUGUAAUAGCACUGACAUGGAAAAGGUUAAAAACUGAAAAACUGAAAAAAGUAAAUCAAACAAACAAAUGGUGUGCAAACUAAAUCAGACGGCACAAGACAAGUGAGAUUUAGUCAGGACUCUUUCAGAUGAAGAUAAGCAAAUUGCAAGAAAACAACAUGCAGAAACAAUUUUAUAUCAUAGCAUAACAUGCAAAAAAGCACAUAUAUAGUACAACGACAACCCACGUGUCUAUAUGCUAUCUAUAUGUAUAUCUAUCUAUCUAUAUCUAUCUAUCUAUCUAUCUAUCUAUCCUUACUAAUAAAAGACGGAUCAUUUAUGCCCAUCCGUCUCAUGUUUUGCAACAAAAUACCCUACUUUUUUCUUUAAUUAACCCGCGGUCAAGGUUUAGGUGAGGUUCGUCCGUUGUUUUUUUUGCAAAGAACGAGGAAACGGUUGCGUUUUGUGAGAUUCAAACUCAUGAUGUCCCCUCCAUGCCCAAAAGCCACAGCCAACUGAGUUAGCAUGCACUUGUGCUACCAAAUAGGUCCAUUAUUUCAUUAAAUUGUCCAUCCUUGAUUCUUUGCAUGAGAAUACACAAAUUUAUAUGUGAUUGCAAAUUGCCUGGAAAUCAACAAGCCAACUCGAUAACCAAGAAAUAGAGGGAGAGGAGGAAUUCACUCAAUAAAUAGUGUUAACUAGCAGGGUUUCCCGCGCAUUUGUGCGGCUAGCUGACCCUUUCCGAUGCCAACUAUAUGGCCUUUCACUAAACUAUAUUUUGAUUAAAUUUACACCUUGUAUAUGUCAUCAUAGAAAAAAUGAAAAUCGUAAUGAAACAUGCAAGUGCAUCAGGUUGUUCAUUUUAAUAUAGAAGUGCAUUAGGUUUUUAAAUAAAUUCCUUGGCAUGUCAGGUUGCAACACAGAUAAAAAACCAUGUAUGGGAUUUCAUGCCAAUCUUGGUGUUUUUCCUGUGUGAUCACUCCUCCUUUGUAUCAUUUAAUAGGUUUUCAAGAAAUUCCCUACCAAGACUUAAAUCUAAACAUGAAAUUCUGGUAUGUAAAGGUCCCUUCUUCUAGUCAUACCAAUCAACGGACGCAUUCUUAACUACCUUUUCUUGAUUAAUGCCGCCUACCCACUUAUGUAUCAAGAGAUUCACAUCUUCUAUCGUGCUUAUUUUUUCUAUUGAUAAUAUUUUACAAAAUAUUAUCUUUGACUCACUCCCUUUUAAUUUCUGAAGACUUUGAAAGUGAAGAAAUUGGUGUGACCUUGAAGACUUGGUAUUCAUUCGAGGAACAUGAAGCGUGAAGACUUUUGUUUUAGUAGUUUCAUUUUCUCUUUCUUGAGUCAUAGGAAACACUGUACUGUUAAAGGGGGUCGAGUAAAUACUAAGGAAAAAUUUCCAAGUGAUGCUCAACUUAAAAUCCUACACCUACCAAUCCCUUCGAGUGAAGCCAUUGGAAAUCUCAUGCAGUUCAGUCAGUUUCUUCAGUGACAGAGACGAAGUACUUCUGGUCUCUGAGGAAUUUGUUCUGCCUAAGGAGUUAGGAAUUCGCCAGUGCGGAUUGCCUACAAGUGAGGAACAUGAUAGCCCUGAGGAAUUAGACACUCGAAAUUCCGACCGUUGCUGUGCUAUGCGCCAGCUGUCCCAAAAUAUCUUACCCACCUAACGGUCAUAUCAUUGAAGGGCAUUUAUGUCUUAUCAUGUAGGGCUGCUCCCUAGGCUAUAAAUAGCCGCCCCCUACAACGACUAUCUGGUUGGCUGCUCCGAGAGAAACCGACACUUGUCAUUUGAGAACAUCCCAUCCUCCGAGGACUUUAAGCGAAAAUCAUCAAGUGAGGAAAACCCAAACCCAAACACCUAAAAACCCAAAGUGAUUGAGCAUCACUAAAGAGAUUGAUCCUGCGUGGAUCCGACACUUGUUACCUUUGAAGAAUGUGCAUCUUCCAGAUGGUUAGGCGUCAUGGUCUAGAGCAUCCAAGAGGAAAUUGUUGAUCGCCGAGUGACCGAGUUUGUGAAGGUUUGGAAGUCACCUGAAGACUUACCACGAGUGAUUGGGCGAGGCUGUGUGACCGUAGCGAUGACGGACGCUGAGACGAGCACGUGACACCACUACCACCCUAUCUAUCAUCGGGUAACGCGAGUCGAGGCAAACGUCGUCGCGGUAGCGACGACAGACGCCAAGACGAGCACUUGACACCCUGGCCACCCUGUCUAUCUUAGUGUAACGCGAGUCGAGGCGAACGUCAUCGCAGUAGCGAGGACGAACGACGAGACGAGCACGUGACACUACUACCACCCUCUCUUAAAAGUCGAGGCGGACGUCGUCUAGCUUGUCACGUCAAAUUGACACAAAAAAUGUUCAUUUAAAAAAAAUAUCAGAUAUUUCGGAAAAUGUUCUUGUUUUAAAGGAAAUUUCAGGAAUUCAAAAGUUGUUUAGUUCUAUAAAUAUGUUCUUGAUUUGAAUUUUUCUCAUUAAUUUUAAAACAUGUUCAUAGUAGAUCAAUUUAAUGAACAUUUCGAUUCAACCAAAAAGAUGUAGAUCAAUUUAAUUCAGCAUGUUAAUUUUUGUUUAAUAAAAUUAUGUUCAUGGAAAGUAUUAAUCGAAAGGGAAUAGAGGAAUAGGCGAAUUUAUUUUUUUCUGUGUAAAAGUAGCUAUUCAUUUUAGUUGAAAGUGCUAGUUCAUUUCAAUUAAAAGUGGGAUUUCCGGCCCAUUAGUGUCCGUGAAAAACCGCUGGCCCAGAAAGGGAAUAGGAAAACACAGGCCCAAAAGGAAAAAACGUGGAAAGGGAAUAGAGGCUAGGUGAGGUAUUGGGCCAAGGCUGGGCCGAACUCACAAAAAGUGGAGCUCUCAAGGCCGGAAUUGAUCACGAAAGGGAAUAGAAUGGGCGCAACCGUUCGCUAACUUUGUGGUUUGCUGUCGCAUCGAUCUGGUGCGAAAUGAGAGCUCCUAUGUGUCGCAUUUUACGGCAAAUUGCCACCAUAUCGCACAGGGGCGCCACCGAGUGGGCCGGCCCAUUAGCAGCACUGCAGCGAGCCAAUAAACGCACUGUAGCUAAAAACUGAGCGCCCCCGUGGAGGCAUCGACCUCGCGACCUCUGGCUAUUGAAUGACUCUCGCUAGCCACUUGAGCUGAUGGCCCGUUGGUUAUUGUUAUACACCGCGAAAUACUAAAAGCACUACUCGGAGGAGCUGAUCAAACAUGUACUGUAGCGACCGGACUGUGUACUGUUACGACAUGAACAAGGCAAGGUAGAGUUUUUUUUAGAAGCUCCAAAUCUUUCUUUGAAAAACGUGAACAUUUUUUAAAAACACAAAUAAAAAUUCAAAUUUCAAACAUUUUUCAAAACAGAUAAAAAAAGUAGAAACCACAAAAGUAUUUUGAAUUUGUGAACAUUUCUCCGAGAAAGGGAACAUUUUUUAAAUUCCGAACAAAUUUUGAAAGCCUGAACAUUAUUUGAAACUCCCCGAACAAUUUUUGAAUUUGUGAACAAAUUUUGAAAACGAGAACAUUUUUUGAAAUUGUGAACAAAAUUUUGAAACCACAAACAUUUUUUGAAAUUGGAAGCAAUUUUGGAAUUUGUGACUUUUUUUCAAAAUGAGAACUUUUUUGAAAUUCUGAAUUAUAUUUGAAAUUUUCAAAAAAGUUCGAAUAGAAAAAUAAACUUAAAAAAGAAAAAGAGAAAAAUGAAAAAGAAAACAAAACAAUAUUCAAAAAUUCAUGAACGUUGUUUUGAAAAUAUUUAGAAAAGAAGCGAACAAUUUUUGAAAUUUCUGAACAAAAUUUGAAAACAGGAACAUUUAAAAAAAAUAAGGAUCAUGUUUUGAAAUUCCCAAACAAUUUUAAAAUGCAAACAUUUUUUGAAUGUAGAAACAAAAUUUGAAAACAGGAACAUUUUCCAAAAUUUGAACUUUGUUUAGGAACCUGAAUAUUUCUAGAAAAAGAAAAAUGAAAUUGAAUAAAAAGGAAACGGAAAAAGAAAAACCUGACCACAAAGAAAUAGAAAAACGAAAAGAAAAGAAAAAACCGUAUAAAAGAAAAAAAAACCCGGUUCAGGAAACCUUCUGGAAGGUUCCCAAAGCCGGAUGGGGUAGUGCCAAUACGAUCUACUCAAAUGGGCCGGCCUAGUCGUGUCGAUCGGCCGAUCGCCUGUGCGUUGCCCCGGCAACUUGCCGCAACGAGCGACAAACAAGAAAUUCCGUGCGAAAAAUCAAGUGCGCCUCUUAGGACGCGCGCUAGCGACGCCGCAUUGGAGUUCUCUCUAUACGUAUACUUGCUAGCGUUGAUCAAGCACGGAAAUAAGCGAGCUCACUUCUCUCUAUUAGCUAGCUAACACAAUAUAUGAAACCCCCUCUCCCUUCUUUCAAAAAAAAACAAAACCCCUGCUCCUGCCAGCUGCUGACGCGUGGAUGCCUUUUGGUACCGGUUGGUGUUACCAACCGGGACAAAAGGUGCUCCAGCCUAGGCACCUCGCAGCGGCCACGUGGAGCCCGUUGCGAAUCGGGACUAAAGGUUUUGGGCUUUAGUCCCAACCCUUUAGUCCCGGUUCCAGAACCGGGGCUAAGGGGCCUCUGAAACCGGGACAAAUGGGCCGGUUUCUAUGAGUCGAAGCUCCAUCCUCCUUUCUGGUCCUCUGUUCCUUUUCUCAUAUCAGCUUUCAUCCAUCUCCCAUACUGUUGCACCUCACCUCUCCCAAGUCCAAUAGAACACGCCUUGUUCACGUGUCCAAUUAUACCACACGUGUAACAAAAAUCAGGGAGGUACUCAUACUCUAGGGGGCACCAUUUUUGCUCAUCAUCUUUCUUCUUUCUUUUAUCCACGUCCAUCACUUCUGCAGACUCAUUGUCUUCUCCCGUUCAAUAUCCAAAGUGAUUCCUCUCAACAGUGGCUUUGUAAUGUCUAGUCUAACUUUCAGAACUUCCAGCCACAUUAUCAUCAUCCCCCUGGUUACCUCCAUGAACUCGCCAGUCUCGUCACCAAUGAUACCUCCGUUUUCAUCACUCAUGAAACCGAGCGGCAUCUUGGUCACCCUGACCCAAAUAAGGAUGAUAGUGAACUCAUACUCUCCUAGCGUUUUAGCUGGGUCGAAAUCUACCAUCACAAUCAGGUCCUUGCCCACCAUCCAUGGCCCUUCCUCCAAUGCUUUCCUCUUCCCCGCUGCUUGCAAGAAGGUGAAAAGAAAGGUGUUGUCCUCUAACCCCUUGCACUUGAUUCCCUUGAUCGGACACCACACUCUUCCGAGGGAUUUGAUCAUACCUUCCAUAUAUACUGGUUUCUCGGACAUAACCUUACCGAUCGCCUGUGGAUCUUCCGUUCCCGUUCUCCUCAACCCGCCUCUUCCGAUCUUGACUCCCUUCUUCUCUGCUUCUGGCAACCGCAACUUCUGCAUCAAACCUUCCACUUUCUCCAUUGUGUCGAGGACUUGCAUCGAUCUAUGGUUUACUAGGUGGUUGUAUUAUGAAUGAAUGCCCUAGCAACACUCGUAAGGCUUUUGGUGGAUGGGUGAGCGGUCUCGAGAUCAAUCCAGCAAGGAUCGCCGAGGCUAGGGGGAGAGUUUGCUGGCGUAGGCCAGAGACGGGGUCGCCUGAGGGGACUCUAGGGUUUACCAGGAGUCACCGCAGAAUCCCCUGGGAAUCGCCCAAGCGCCAAUCGUGGAACCGUCACCCAAGGACGGACGGGUUAAGGAUGAUAAUUAAAGCGGACUUUGAUAGAGAGACACGUGAGAAAUAGAGUGAUAGAGAGAGAUACGUGAAAAUUAAAGCGGUUUUAAUUUCUUUCUUUUCUGUAAUUAAAGAGAUACGCAUGAGAAAUAGAGAGAUAAGAGAGAUACGUGAGAAUUAAAGCUGUUUUAAUUUUUUCCGUUUCUAUAAUUAAAGAUCUGAUCUACACAGUUAUAAUCUUGACCCGCAAAAUCAACGGCCUCCAUUUUCUAUUUUUCUCUAAUUAAUGUGGGAAUUUCUUGGGAGUGCCUAUUAGUAUAGGUAUAUAUAUGUGCAAAAAAUCUCGACAUUAAUGAACAUAUAUCUGGUGCACUUGCAAUCUUUUGUAGUACAUUAAUGAAUAUUUAAAGUAUUUUCCAACUCUUGCUAUUUAUAGACUUGUCAUCCGUGUCUGCCACAUUUGGAGUCCAACUAUUUCCUACUGGAACCUUACACUCCACUAGAACUGAGUUUGUCAAGUAACAGAUAACCAAUAUGAGAGGGAGCAGCCUAGUGCAGGGGACGAUGAUAUUCUUCAUUGGAUGCCUUGUGCUUUGUGCACAGUGUAAGUAUAUAUCAUCAUCGUCUUUAGAAUCUUGUGUUAACUUCUUGCCACUAAUUCUUCGGAUCAGACAUACAUACACACACACAUCUGCGGUACUGCAUACUAAGGUUAAAUAUACUAUACAGGUGCUCUCGAUAAUAAGCAAAGGAUGGUCAACCAAGAUGAUCAUGCGGCGAACACAAGUACCAACGCUACCAUCAUCAACUCAACAUCUGUAGGCGAGAGCAAGAAAACCGAGAAAUUUUGCAGCCUCUUUCUCGUAUGUUAUUUCAACAUUGAGAUUCGUGCUGAGUGCUACUGUUGCGAGAAUAAGAAUGCCGACUGUUACAAGACGAAGAGUGAGUGCCUGCAGAAGUGCCAUUCCUACAACGGUUAAUGCCCACCUUCAUCGCGGUCUCUGGGAUAGAAUUCCAUAUGCUCGGAAAAUUUGUCCGUAGGUAAUAAAAGGCACCUUAUAUGGUUUGGGCAAUUAGGUCCCAAUUAAACAUUAGAUAGCCGGCAUGUUUCCGUGGAGAUCCAACAAGGAAAAAUUUGAUGAAAGAAAUCCGAGUAACUAGUUGUCUUGCAUAUUUACAAAGUUCAAAUCCUUUGGCUGUUGUGCUUUGACUCGAUUGUCUAUUAUGCCAUUUCAUUUACUUGCACAUUGCCCACUUGUUCAUUUAACACACAUCACCCACUUGGUGAUUUGCCAGUUGUGGGCUGACAGCCAUAUAGAUUUAUUUUUUUGAGAUCUCGUCAUAUAGAAUUGUAAUAGCACUGACAUGGAAAAGGUUAAAAACUGAAAAACUGAAAAAAGUAAAUCAAACAAACAAAUGGUGUGCAAACUAAAUCAGACGGCACAAGACAAGUGAGAUUUAGUCAGGACUCUUUCAGAUGAAGAUAAGCAAAUUGCAAGAAAACAACAUGCAGAAACAAUUUUAUAUCAUAGCAUAACAUGCAAAAAAGCACAUAUAUAGUACAACGACAACCCACGUGUCUAUAUGCUAUCUAUAUGUAUAUUUAUCUAUCUAUAUCUAUCUAUCUAUCUAUCUAUCUAUCCUUACUAAUAAAAGACGGAUCAUUUAUGCCCAUCCGUCUCAUGUUUUGCAACAAAAUACCCUACUUUUUUCUUUAAUUAACCCGCGGUCAAGGUUUAGGUGAGGUUCGUCCGUUGUGUUUUUUGCAAAGAACGAGGAAACGGUUGCGUUUUGUGAGAUUCAAACUCAUGAUGUCCCCUCCAUGCCCAAAAGCCACAGCCAACUGAGUUAGCAUGCACUUGUGCUACCAAAUAGGUCCAUUAUUUCAUUAAAUUGUCCAACCUUGAUUCUUUGCAUGAGAAUACACAAAUUUAUAUGUGAUUGCAAAUUGCCUGGAAAUCAACAAGCCAACUCGAUAACCAAGAAAUAGAGGGAGAGGAGGAAUUCACUCAAUAAAUAGUGUUAACUAGCCGGGUUUCCCGCGCAUUUGUGCGGCUAGCUGACCCUUUCCGAUGCCAACUAUAUGGCCUUUCACUAAACUAUAUUUUGAUUAAAUUUACACCUUGUAUAUGUCAUCAUAGAAAAAAUGAAAAUCGUAAUGAAACAUGCAAGUGCAUCAGGUUGUUCAUUUUAAUAUAGAAGUGCAUUAGGUUUUUAAAUAAAUUCCUUGGCAUGUCAGGUUGCAACACAGAUAAAAAACCAUGUAUGGGAUUUCAUGCCAAUCUUGGUGUUUUUCCUGUGUGAUCACUCCUCCUUUGUAUCAUUUAAUAGGUUUUCGAGAAAUUCCCUACCAAGACUUAAAUCAAAACAUGAAAUUCUGGUAUGUAAAGGUCCCUUCUUCUAGUCAUACCAAUCAACGGACGCAUUCUUAACUACCUUUUCUUGAUUAAUGCCGCCUACCCACUUAUGUAUCAAGAGAUUCACAUCUUCUAUCGUGCUUAUUUUUUCUAUUGAUAAUAUUUUACAAAAUAUUAUCUUUGACUCACUCCCUUUUAAUUUCUGAAGACUUUGAAAGUGAAGAAAUUGGUGUGACCUUGAAGACUUGGUAUUCAUUCGAGGAACAUGAAGCGUGAAGACUUUUGUUUUAGUAGUUUCAUUUUCUCUUUCUUGAGUCAUAGGAAACACUGUACUGUUAAAGGGGGUCGAGUAAAUACUAAGGAAAAAUUUCCAAGUGAUGCUCAACUUAAAAUCCUACACCUACCAAUCCCUUCGAGUGAAGCCAUUGGAAAUCUCAUGCAGUUCAGUCAGUUUCUUCAGUGACAGAGACGAAGUACUUCUGGUCUCUGAGGAAUUUGUUCUGACUGAGGAGUUAGGAAUUCGCCAGUGCGGAUUGCCUACAAGUGAGGAACAUGAUAGCCCUGAGGAAUUAGACACUCAAAAUUCCGACCGUUGCUGUGCUAUGCGCCAGCUGUCCCAAAAUAUCUUACCCACCUAACGGUCAUAUCAUUGAAGGGCAUUUAUGUCUUAUCAUGUAGGGCUGCUGCCUAGGCUAUAAAUAGCCGCCCCCUACAACCACUAUCUGGUUGGCUGCUCCGAGAGAAACCGACACUUGUCAUUUGAGAGCAUCCCAUCCUCCGAGGACUUUAAGCGAAAAUCAUCAAGUGAGGAAAACCCAAACCCAAACACCUAAAAACCCGAAGUGAUUGAGCAUCACUAAAGAGAUUGAUCCUGCGUGGAUCCGACACUUGUUACCUCUGAAGAAUGUGCAUCUUCCAGACGGUUAGGCGUCAUGGUCUAGAGCAUCCAAGAGGAAAUUGUUGAUCGCCGAGUGACCGAGUUUGUGAAGGUUUGGAAUUCACCUGAAGACUUACCACGAGUGAUUGGGCGAGGCUGUGUGACCGUAGCUCAAGGAGAAUACGGUGAGGACUGUGUGUCCGGGACUAUGUGUCCUCAGGUUUAAAUACCUAGCCGCUCCAACCAGACGUACAACUGUCAUAGCAGUUGGAACUGGUCUACCAAAUCAUUGUCUUCACCAACCCUACUGGUUCUAUUUCCUCAACUCUUUCAUUUCCUCAUUACUGUGUUGUGUGCUUGUUCAUAUCUUUUUGAAGACUUUGACUGAAGACUUUCUCAAUUUCCUCAGUUUAAUUUCUUCAGUCUGUUUUGUCUUCAUCAUGUUUUAUCCUAUGCUUACGCUUCCUGUACUCUGUGUCUGUUUUCGUUUCAUCAUGAUGACCAUGUUUAUGUUAUGUCAUGUAUGGAUCUGAGUACUUAUUCCGCUGAAGUAGUUCUUCGCUAAGGAAUUUCCUCACCCUGAAAUUCCUCAGUGAAGAAUUCAUAAAAAUCGCCUAUUCACGCCCCCUCUAGUUGACUUAACGAACUUUCAUCGUCACAUUAGCAACGCCGCACGCCGAGACGAGCACGUGACACCAAGGCCACCCUAUCUAUCUUACGGUAACGCGAGUCGAGGCGAAUGUCGCCGCGGUAGCGACGACGGACGCCGAGACGAGUACGUGACACCACUGCCACCCUGUCUAUCUUAGGGCAACGCGACUAGACGCGGACGUUGUCGCGGUAGCGAUGAAGGACGCCGAGACGAGCACGUGACACCAUUGCCCCAGUCUAUCUUAGGGUAACGCGAGUCGAGGCGGAUGUCGUCGCGGUAGCGGCGAUGGACGCCGAGACGAGCACGUGACACCACUGCCACCCUGUCUAUCUUAGGGUAAUGCGAGUCGAGGGGGAUGUCGUUGUGGUAGCGACGACGGACGCCAAGACGAGCAUGUGACACCACUGCCACCCUGUGUAUCUUAGGGUAACGCGGGUCGAGGCGGACAUCGUCGCGGUAGCGGCAACGCACACUGAGACGAGCACAUGACACCACUGCCACCCUGUCUUAGGGUAACGCAAGUGUCGAGGCGGACGUCGUCGCGGUAGCGACGACGAACGCCAAGACGAGGACAUGACGCUAGGGCCACCUUGUCUAUCUUAGGGUAACGCGAGUCGAGGCGGACGUCGUCGCGGUAGCGACGACGGACGACGAGACGAGCACGUGACACCACUGCCACCCUGUCUAUCUUAGGGCAACGCGACUCGACUGCCAUGUGAUAUAGGUCAGAACUUUUCUGAAUACUUAGUGUCGCCAUGUGAUCCAGACGAAUAAUUAAGAAAGUAUAUAAUUUUACAACCAUGGAUACGCGAGUCGAGGCGGACGUCGUCCCGAUAGUGAUGGCGGACGCCGAGAUGAGCACGUGGCACCACUGCCACCCUGUCUUAGGGUAACGCGAGUCGAGGCGGACGUCGGCGCAUUAGCGACGACGGACGCCGACACGAGCACGUGACACCAGGGCCACCCUGUCUAUCUUACGGUAACACGAGUCAAGGAGGACGUCGUUGUGGUAGCGACGACGGACGCCGAGACGAGCACGUGACACCACUGUCACCCUGUCUAUCUUAGGGCAACGCGAAUCGACGCGGACGUCGCCACGGUAGCGACGACGGACGUCGAGACGAGCACGUGACACCACUGCCACCAUGUCUAUCUUAGGGUAACGAGAGUCGAGGCGAACAUCAUCGCAGAUGCGACGAUGGAUGCCGAGACGAGCACGUGACACCACUACCACCCUAUCUUAGCGUAAUGAGAGUUGAGGUGGACGUUGUCGCGAUAGCGACUACGGAAGCCGAGAUGAGCACGUGACACCACUGCCACCCUGUCUUAGGGUAAUGCGAGUCGAGGCAGACGUCGUCGCAUUAGCAACGCCGGACCGCGAGAUGAGCACGUGACACCAAGGCCACCCUGUCUAUCUUACGCUAACGCGAGUCGAGGCGGACGGCGUCGCGGUAGCGACGACGGACGCCGAGACGAGCAUGUGACACCACUGUCACCCUAUCUAUCUUAGGGAAACGUGAGUCGACGCGGACGUCGUCGUGGUAGNNNNNNNNNNNNNNNNNNNNNNNNNNNNNNNNNNNNNNNNNNNNNNNNNNNNNNNNNNNNNNNNNNNNNNNNNNNNNNNNNNNNNNNNNNNNNNNNNNNNNNNNNNNNNNNNNNNNNNNNNNNNNNNNNNNNNNNNNNNNNNNNNNNNNNNNNNNNNNNNNNNNNNNNNNNNNNNNNNNNNNNNNNNNNNNNNNNNNNNNNNNNNNNNNNNNNNNNNNNNNNNNNNNNNNNNNNNNNNNNNNNNNNNNNNNNNNNNNNNNNNNNNNNNNNNNNNNNNNNNNNNNNNNNNNNNNNNNNNNNNNNNNNNNNNNNNNNNNNNNNNNNNNNNNNNNNNNNNNNNNNNNNNNNNNNNNNNNNNNNNNNNNNNNNNNNNNNNNNNNNNNNNNNNNNNNNNNNNNNNNNNNNNNNNNNNNNNNNNNNNNNNNNNNNNNNNNNNNNNNNNNNNNNNNNNNNNNNNNNNNNNNNNNNNNNNNNNNNNNNNNNNNNNNNNNNNNNNNNNNNNNNNNNNNNNNNNNNNNNNNNNNNNNNNNNNNNNNNNNNNNNNNNNNNNNNNNNNNNNNNNNNNNNNNNNNNNNNNNNNNNNNNNNNNNNNNNNNNNNNNNNNNNNNNNNNNNNNNNNNNNNNNNNNNNNNNNNNNNNNNNNNNNNNNNNNNNNNNNNNNNNNNNNNNNNNNNNNNNNNNNNNNNNNNNNNNNNNNNNNNNNNNNNNNNNNNNNNNNNNNNNNNNNNNNNNNNNNNNNNNNNNNNNNNNNNNNNNNNNNNNNNNNNNNNNNNNNNNNNNNNNNNNNNNNNNNNNNNNNNNNNNNNNNNNNNNNNNNNNNNNNNNNNNNNNNNNNNNNNNNNNNNNNNNNNNNNNNNNNNNNNNNNNNNNNNNNNNNNNNNNNNNNNNNNNNNNNNNNNNNNNNNNNNNNNNNNNNNNNNNNNNNNNNNNNNNNNNNNNNNNNNNNNNNNNNNNNNNNNNNNNNNNNNNNNNNNNNNNNNNNNNNNNNNNNNNNNNNNNNNNNNNNNNNNNNNNNNNNNNNNNNNNNNNNNNNNNNNNNNNNNNNNNNNNNNNNNNNNNNNNNNNNNNNNNNNNNNNNNNNNNNNNNNNNNNNNNNGCGUCGCGCUAGCGACGACGGACGCCGAGACGAGCACAUGACACCAAUACCACCAUGUCUAUCUUAGGGAAACGCGAGUCGACGCGGAUGUCGUCGUGGUAGCGACGCGGACACCGAGGCAAGCACGUGACACCACUGCCACCCUGUCUAUCUUAGGGUAACACGAGUCGUGGCGGAUGUCGUCGUGGUAGCGACGACGGACGCCGAGACUAGCACGUGACACCACUGCCACCCUGUCUUAGGGUAACGCGAGGCGAUGCGAAUGUCGUCGCGGUAGCGACGAUGGACUCCUAUACGAGCAUGUGACACCACUGCCACCCUCUCUUAGGGUAACACGAGUAGAGGCGGAGGUCGUCGCGGAAGCGGCGACGGAUGCCUAGGCGAGAACGUGACACCACUGCCACCUUGUCUUAGCGUAACGCAAGUCGAGGCGGACGUCGUCCCGAUAGCGACGACGGACGCCACGGCGAGCACGUGACACCACUGCCACCCUUUCUUAGCGGAACACGAGUCGAGGCGGACGUCGUCGCGAUAGCGAUGACGGACGCCAAGACGAGCAUGUGACACCGCUGCCACCCUGUCUUAGGGUAACACGAGUUGAGGCGGACGUCGUCCCGUUAGCAACGACGGACGCCGUGACGAAAGUGGAGCGCUCAAGGCCGGAAUCGACCGCGAAAGGGAAUAGAAUGGGCGCAACCAUUCGCUAACUUUGUCGUUUGCUGUCGCAUCGAUCUGGUGUGAAAUGAGAGCUCCUAUGUGUCGCAUUUUGCGGGGCGCCACCGAGUGGGCCGGCCCAUUAGUAGCACUGCAGCAAGCCAAUAAACGCACUGUAGCUAAAAACUGAGCGCCCCGUGGGGACGGACGCCGAGACGAGCACGUGACACCACUGCCACCCUGUCUUAAAAGUCGAGGCGGACGUCGUCUAGCAUGUCAUGUCAAAUUGACACAAAAAAUGUUCAUUUAAAAAAAAUAUUAGAUAUUUCAGAAAAUGUUCUUGUUUUUCAGGAAAUUUCAGGAAUUCAAAAGUUGUUUAUUUCUACAAAUUUGUUCUUGAUUUGAAUUUUUUCUCAUUAAUUUUAAAACAUGUUCAUAGUAGAUCAAUUUAAUGAACAUUUCGAUUCAACCAAAAAGCUGUAGAUCAAUUUAAUUCAGUAUGUUAAUUUAUGUUUAAUAAAAUUAUGUUCAUGAAAAGUAUUAAUCGAAAGGGAAUAGAGGAAUAUGCGAAUUUAUUUUUUGUGUGUAAAAGUAGCUAUUCAUUUUAGUUGAAAGUGCUAGUUCAUUUCAAUUAAAAGUGGGAUUUCCGGCCCGUUAUUGUCCCUGAAAAACCACUGGCCCAGAAAGGGAAUAGGAAAACACAGGCCCAAAAGAAAAAAACAUGGAAAGGGAAUAGAGGCUAGGUGAGGUAUUGGGCCAAGGCUGGGCCGAACUCAUGAAAAGUGGAGCGCUCAAGGCCGGAAUCGAUCACGAAAGGGAAUAGAAUGGGCGCAACCAUUCGCUAACUUUGUCGUUUGCUGUCGCAUCGAUCUGGUGCGAAAUGAGAGCUCCUAUGUGUCGCAUUUUGCGGGGCGCCACCGAGUGGGCCGGCCCAUUAGCAGCACUGCAGCGAGCCAAUAAACGCACUGUAGCUAAAAACUGAGCGCCCCCGUGGGGGGAGCGAACUAGCGACCUCUGGCUACUGAAUGACUCUCGCUAGCCACUUGAGCUGAUGACCCGUUGGUUAUUGUUAUACACCGCAAAAUACUAAAAGCACUACUGGGAGGAGCAGAUCAAACAUGUACUGUAGCGACCGGACCGUGUACUGUAACGACACGAACAAGGCAAGGUAGAGUUUCUUUUAGAAGCUCCAAAUCUUUCUUUGAAAAACAUGAACAUUUUUUAAAAAUACAAAUAAAAUUUCAAAUUUCAAACAUUUUUCAAAACAGAUAAAAAAUUUAGAAAACCACAAAAGUAUUUAGAAUUUGUGAACAUUCUUUUGAAAAAGGGAACAUUUUUUAAAUUCCGAACAAAUUUUGAAAGCCUGAACAUUAUUUGAAACUCCCCGAACAAUUUUUGAAUUUGUGAACAAAUUUUGAAAACGAGAACAUUUUUUGAAAUUGUGAACAAAUUUUUUAAACCACAUACAUUUUUUGAAAUUGUAAACACUUUUUGAAUUUGUGAAAAUAUUUCAAAAUGAGAACAUUUUUUGAAAUUCUGAAUUAUAUUUGAAAUUUUCAAAAAAGUUCGAAUAGAAAAAUAAACUUAAAAAAUAAUAAGAGAAAAAUGAAAUAGAAAACAAAAAAAUAUUCAGAAAUUCAUGAACGUUGUUUUGAAAAUAUUUAGAAAAGAAGCCAACAAUUUUUGAAAUUUCUGGACAAAAUUUGAAAACAGGAACAUUUUUGGAAAUUCCGAAACAAUUUUAAAAUGCAAACAUUUUUUGAAUGUAGAAACAAAAUUUGAAAAAAGGAACAUUUUCCAAAUUUUGAACUUUUUUUAGGAAUCUGAAUAUUUCUAGAAAAAGAAAAAUGAAAUUGAAUAAAAAGAAAACGGAAAAAGAAAAAGAAAAACCUGACCACAAAGAAAUAGAAAAAAAGAAAAGAAAAGAAAAGAAAAAACCGUAGAAAAGAAAAAAACUGGUUCAGGGAACCUUCUGGAAGGUUCCCAAAACCAGAUGGGGUAGUGCCAACGCGAUCUACUCAAAUAGGCUGGCCCAGUCGUGUUGGUCGGCCGAUCGCCUGUGCAUUGCCCUGGCAACUUGCCGCGACGAGCGGCAAAUAGGAAAUUCCGUGCGAAAAAUCGAGGGCGCCUCUUAGGACGCGCGCGCUAGUGACGCCGCAUUGGAGUUCUCUCUAUACGGAUACUUGCUAGCGUUGACCAAGCACGGAAAUAAGCGAGGUCACUUCUCUCUAUUAGCUAGCUAACACAAUAUAUGAAACCCCCUCUCCCUUCUUUAAAAAAAACCAAAACCCCUGCUCCUGCUAGCUGCUGACGCGUGGAUGCCUUUUGGUACCGGUUGCUGUUACCAACCGGGACUAAAGGUGCUCCUGCCUAGGCGCCCCGCAGCGGCCACGUGGAGCCCCUUCUGUCCCGGUUCAUAAGCGAACCGGGACUAAAGGUUUUGGGCUUUAGUCCCGAACCUUUAGUCCCGGUUCCAGAACCGGGGCUAAAACUACAAAAAAAAUACACUUCCGUGGUGAUACACGUUUGUCACAGUAGGUCGCAUUUUCUGUCAUGCAUGUACAUCCAUGACGAUUUUAUGACAGAAUCAAGGUAGUCAUACCUGUGCUGUCGUAGAAGUGUUCCAUGACAUUACCAAAAUUAUCAUCACGGAAAUGUCCACUUCCAUGACGAUAAAUCCCGCGUCACAGAAGUGCUUUCGUCAAGGGUGACCGACACGUGGCAUCCACCGUAACGGAACGCCGUUAAGCUAUCGGGUCGGGUUUUGGAUCCGAUAACCCGUUAACAACCCCGACCAAUGGGGAUUUUCCACGUGUAAAAUCAUCAUUGGCUGGAGGAAACACGUGUCGGCUCAUCGUUGGGACAGAUGUCAUCCACUCAAUGGACAGAAGGCGCCUAUGAUACGUCGACACGUGGCACGGCCCAACAGAGGCCCAUUCCUGUGAAAAGGCCGGCCCGUUUGACUUGGUCAAAAGGUGGCGGGCCGGCCCAUGUAAAGCCUGUUAACUGCCUGUUCGCAUAUAGCCCAUUUACAGCCCGCUAACCCAAGGCCCGUUACGCCCUAUCCGAAUUAGGCCCAGUAGCGUCAUCUGGGCCACCCAAUAUGAUUCCAGCCCGUUUUCACUUCUGGCCCAUGUAUGGCCCAUGACGUCUUUCGGCCCAUAUGAGGCCCUAUGUAACUCUUGGCCUAUUAACGGCCCGUGGUGAAACUGGCCCGUAAUGAACAGUGUAUCACUUUACACCCAUUAACGGCCCGUGGUGAAACUGGCCCGUAAUGAACAGUGUAUCACUUUAUACCCAUUAACGGCCCGUUAUCCCGUUGGGCCGUUUCCAUCCCAUGUUAUCUUUCGGCCUUCUCAGAGCCCAUUUAUUCUUGGGCUCAUUUACAGCAUUCGUUUACUUAUGGCCCGUUACUGUCAUUUUCUGCUUGUGGGCCAAAUUCAGCCCGUGGUUACAGUCCGCCCGUUUGUGGUCCGUUAAUACGUUGGGCCGUUUUCAUAGCGUCAUCAAAUACGGCCUAUUAACGAUGGUCCGUUAUGGUCGGCCCAUGAACGGACGAUUCCAACUCUAGCCCGUUUACGGCCAUAAUGCGGCAUGUUAUUGGCCCAGGUUUGGCCAAUCGAUCAUACUGCCCGUAUAAGGCCCAUUGAUGAUACGGCCCGUAGAAGGCCCAUUGUUUCUACGGCCCAUAGAAGGCCCAUUGUUUCUACGGCCCGUAGAAGGCCCACUGUUUCUAUGGCCCGUAGAAGGCCCACUGUUUCUACGGCCCGUAGGAGGCCCAGUGUCACUACAGUAAAUAUUAGCCCAUGGUUAUUGUGGCCUAGUUUUAAAAAAUAGGCUAUUGCAGCCACUAGCAAACCGCGGAAAAAGAACUGCAAUGACUGCAAGCAAACAAAUAAACAAGACAACAAGGAAAUAAACAAGCAAGCAACUUAUGCUAGGCUAUCACACAUAUUACAUCCACUGGGCAUCAAAGUUCGCCACCAGUGCAAAUAAACGCGCCGACAAAAGAAUAUACAAAACUGAGAGCACUUCAGGAGGCACUAGGCCUGGCCAUGUCGGGCCCCCCAAACAGCCGAAGAAGCUGAGUAGACCUCGGUUGUGUCAACGAUAGAUGCAUCAACACUAGAUUUAAGGCAUGAUGGUGCGCAUGGCAGUCCUCUGACAUCUUCAUUGCAUCUUUGACUUCAAGUCGGAGCUGAGCUGAAGCAAGCCUUUCCGCUUUAAGUUGAGACUGAAGAAGUCGAACUGAUUGAGGCAGCGACUGCACAGAGGUUGUCUCACACCUGCUGGUGAGUAGCUUCAACUCACUGUCUUCAUCAAGACAGGACCUCGGGGUCAUCUCGCUGUCCUCAAGAUGGUUUGGCUCACUAUCUUCCCUAAAGUUCUGCCUGGCGUAAGAGAUACGAGUCUGAAAGAGAAACAAGGAGACACGUAACAGGUUUCACAAUUAUAUAAGCAAAUAAAUGGAUCUGUUCUGCAUAAGGAACAUGUUUUUACAACUACAAUUUGAAACUGGUAGUUGUUGCAAACAUCCAAUCAGAUGUAAACAGCAAAGCAAACAGCAGUGGAGGAAAUGAUGCCUAUCCAAAUCUAUACUAGAACAAAGUUUGAAGGCUUGAGAAGGAUGAACUUACAUUACAUGUUAACACGGGCUGGACAAAGUCCUUCUCCAUGUUGAUGGAAGGAUAAUUCAAUAAAUUCCCCAAAGAAAAUUCUUUAUAAGCGUUGCCAUUAUUCUACAUUUUGCAAAGAGUAAAUAUAGAUCAAAUAAUAUUGGAAGAAACAGAGGAUAAUGAAGCUCAGGUGCAGACUGAUGAUACAUAAUCAAAUAGCAAUUAAUUAAGUACAACGUUACAAGGCAAAAGGGAGAGAGGUACUGACAAGAGCAAUGCAGAGCCCAUUAUUGUUUUGAGAUUGUAUGAUCCUUUGAGCAAGGAGAUUCAUCUGAAAUUAGUUUUCAUACAAGAGAGAAGGUAAGGCACAAGAAAAAUUUAGGAGUUCAAAUUUUGAAUUGAUAUCAUAGACAGUACCUGACGCUGGGCUCCCAGCAGUUCUAAUAGGGGUUUGGCCACUGGAGUAGGGGUAAAGUGUGGUACAGUUGGGCCUGUGUUUUCUGUGGCUGCUGAUCUAUCUGAUUUAACAGGUAUCACUACCUUUUCCAAAUACCUAGUUUGUACUCCUUGAGGAUCUGCACUCACCCUCUUCCUUUUGGAAAUCUAUUACGAAAGAACAACAUUUGACUGGAAAAACAUAGUGUGACGAGACAUGGAAUAGGUACAGAAAAUGGAUAGGUAUGGCAUAUACUCAUAUAUGAUGCUUAAACUAAGCAGAUGGUGUAACAAAGUAGAAGUAAUGCAAGCGGUCAGAUGCAAAAUAUGCGCGACCAAUACAACUUUGCAAAGUUAGAGCAAGCACCUUGAUGGGUGAAUAAGAUAGGCCAUCCUCCACCAUGCCAAGUUUGUUAGCCAGUGAAUCGUUCCGCAAUAUUCCUCUCAUGCGCCCAUUCUCAUAUUCAUUUUGAUAAUGUUCAAUAUCUGACAUGCAUGAAAACAUAAAAACAAGUGAGAUUUUCUUUGUAAUGCAGAAGUGAUUCUAAUCCAAUACUGCCUCCCUGUAAACCCCUUUGUGCUAUCUCUGCAAUUCUUUUAAAAGAUGCCAUGCAUGCUGUAAUUUGUUGUGUGCAUUAAUAUAAUGUCGCCUACUACUCAAAAUAUGAGAGCUCCAGAAGUGAUGACACUUCGCAGAUGAUAGCUUCAACAUAUAGUAAAGAAGAACAAGUCGACCUGACCUGACAUAUUCAAAAUAUACUAAGGGAGAACAACUCGACCUGACCAGUCGACCGCAAGGGAAGAGUAUCAUCUUAAAGAAGAGCAGAAGAGCAAGCAGAUUGAAGAUAUUACAAGUCUUUCAAUACAAUGUCGGUUGGCCACCCAUGAUGAACCAGAGCGCACAGAGAAAUACUAUUCUUUCUGGUCUCUCCAUAUGUGGCUCACAUGCAUUUCGAAACUAAAGAAGGAACAUUUAGCUAACCAAUUAAACAUCUCUCAGUUUUACUAAUAUCAGCAAUAAUAUCAUAUAUGAAUUUGUACAACUAAGCUUUUUUAGCUCGAUGGGUGGAGCAGUGCUAUUACGACACGAACCACGUAGGCUGAUUGUGGUCAUCAUAAAAUGGGGAAAACAUAAGCAUGAUGAGUACAGUGUUGACCGUGGCAGUGGGAUGGCAGAUCUGAAGCUGCAAACCGCGCAAAGGGUAGUUAGCAACCGAUGUUUGCUUUGAAAUAACAACUAAGAUUUGGUAUGGACAAGAAAGUACGGUCAACAAGUGACAAAGAAAUGCAAUUAUGCUGUCUCUCUAUAUGUCGCGACAUGCAUUUGGAAACUCAAGUGGGACCUUUAGCUAACCAAUUAAAUGUGUCGGUUAACUAAUAUCAGUAUCAUAUCACAAUCAUAUUUGAACAACUAAGCUUUCGAAUUCUGAGUGUUGUGUUGUUUAGCUUGAAGGGUGGAGUAAUGCUAGUACGACAGAAAGGACCUACGCAGAUCAGAGUAGAGUAGAUAAAAGGGGAAAACCCUAAGCAUCAAGAGAAAAAUCAGGAAAGUGGAACUAGCUGGACCAGUGGGUGGCGCACAUGCUUUUUGAAACGAAUAUAGGAACAUUAGGUGACCAAUUAAACGUUCUCUGUUUUAGUAAUAUGAGCAUCAUAUCAGAUUCGUAUUUCAACACGUAAGCUUUGGGUUGAGGUCUUGAGGAGCAGUGCUAGCACGACACGAAGCACCUACGAUGAUGGUAGUGAAUAUAAAGGGGGGAAACCAUAAGCUUUACGAGUAUAGUGCCCGUGCCAUGGAGGAUCUGAAGGUGCAAACCGGACAAAGCUACUUCACAACCAAUGUUUGCUUUCAACUAGCCACUAUGAUUUGGUACGGACAAGAAAAGUAAAGUAAACAAAUUACGGUCUAUUUUCCGGGUGAGAUCAAUAACUUAAGCACAUAUGGAAGAGUACCACCUCUCUUGCGACGCCGUGUAGGCCUAUGCUGAUACGUUGAGGGUGCUGCGGGUGCGAUGGCUAUCGGCGGCGGGGAAGAAGACUUUAGACGGCAGACGACCGGGUCAGGGGAUAUAUCCUGUUGCCGUGGACGAGGCGGUCGUAGGAGCGGCAACGGCAAGGUGGACGACGGCACCGAUGAAGCGAGAGGAGGCGAUGAAAGGAUCCUGGUCCAACGCCGUGGAUGAGAGACGUCCAUCUCUUGCAGUGGACGACGGGGUAGGGGUAGCGGCUCCGGCAAGGUGGAAGAUGGGGUGGCGGACGGAGGAGGCUGGCCGCAGUGCGGAGGUUGUCGUGCCGCCGACGGUGUAUGAAUGGGGAAAUGGAGGGGAGGGGGGAUCUCAAACUUUGGGACGCGCUUCUCUGAAAUGGGGGAAAGUUACGAACUUAUCCCCCGUUUAAAAUUUCGGACAUCGCAUCGGUUGGGGAUAGGACGGUAAUCUCGCAUCUCCCAAAUAUUUGCCGGUAACUAUUUCGGGCGAGGAGAGGGUGUUUUGCCGCCCACGGUUGGCGCCCACGGUGUAUGAACGGGGCUGACAGGUAGGGCGGUUGUGUCACGUCUGAUGGAAGUUACACAUCUGCCCCUAUUUAAAAUAUUAGCCUACAUCGAUUUCGGACGAGGAGAGUUUGUUUUGCCGCCCACCGUGUACGAAUGGGGAAAUGGAGGAAGAGACACAUGUCUUUCGGACGAGCUUGAAUCAAAUGUGUUUUGCUGCCCACGUUUGGCGCCCACCGUGUCUGAAUGGGCUCAGAGGCCGUCGUGUCACGUCUGAUUUAAGUUACUAGUCUACCCCUAUCGACAGCAGUGUAAAUCCGGUCGAUAAGGAUGUCAAGUGUGAGGGGUAGACAGUAAUUUCCAUCUCGCAAACACUUGCUUCGGGCAGCCCACAAAUUACAGUGGGUGUUUAGCCUCUUCGUUCAAAACUUGGGAGAAUUAGCAUUCACGUUUGCCCUGGGACCUGGCAAACUAAAUUCAAAUCCAAUUUGUAUUCAAUUACGAAUAUCCACAGAUAAUUAUACAUUUUGUUAUUUAUUUCUUCGAAACCAUAACAAACAUUUAUUCCACCUUUAUAUAUGAUUAUGAUUUAGAAAUGCCGUGAUCUUCGAAUUCAGUAGGUUGGAUACACUCUGAGUCAAACAGUUAUUUCAUCCAAUACAAUAUGCUCACACGAAAAACAGUUCACCUUAUGUCAAUCAUACAAGUACUGAGGAUUACCUCGCCUAAAAAAUUCGGAUCAUUACAACACAUGGACAACAUAGGGGGUCUUGCAACAUAAUCCAUUCAGAGAUAUGACACAACAUGCAAGUACAAUAAUCUAAUGACAAUUUCAACUGGUAUCUAAAGAAGAACCGGGAUUACCUUGGGCUUUAGAUAGCAGAAACAGCAGGACCUCCUCCGUCUUCAAAUGCAACAUUCUUACUUCCUCCAAUUCUAGGGUUGCUUGCAUAAUGCGUGGCGCUAAUUCCGUAAUUUCCAGCCUCAAGAUAAAGAUUACCUCAUUGAUGGCAGCCCCACCAUCUCUUUCUGCCUCUAGUAGAGCCUCAAGCACUAUAAUAUCUGUGCUCAGACUGCUCUCCGGCGGUGUUGCCUCUGAACUGCUACCAUCUGGUAACAUGGAUGGCACACUGCUUCCACAAAUAGAUUCUGGGGUUGUACAUUGUGUCCAAGUGUGAACGGCAUCCUGGAAGGUUUUCGCUGGACAUCAGUAAGAGAUAGUUAUCGUAUGAUCCAGGCAGUAAGCUUACAUGGUAAACGAUGGAUGAAUUAUUGCCGAGCAUGGCAAACUAUAUUUAAAUGGUUCGAAGCAGCAUCAGCCGAAAAGAAAUUAAAAUUGUAAGAUGAAACUAGGGAUGUAAGUGGCAAAUAAACGACAUCCGCCAGUCCCAUCUAGUUAGUUUUUGCUACCUCCCUAGUUCAUUUUCCACAAAAAACAAAAACUCUUUUGAACUAUCAUACCACUAGUGGACUUUAAUCGGGAUUAAACGGGACCCAGUUGACAUCCCUAGUUGAAAGGGAGUGUACAACCGCUAUAUUUAAGUUGCCAAGGCAUCUAAGCAGUUGAAAUAAUCUGAGAAAGCACUUAACAGUGUGGCCUCAUAUAAACUACCAAGACAGUCUUGUGAUGAAGUUGAGAGGAAAAGUUAAGGACUCAAAUGAAAUAGGCAUGCAUUUCUUUACGAUAGUACAGCAGGCACUGCUGACAUAUUGGACAACUCAGGUAUAGCAUAACAACAAAUAAGCAUUCGAAUCAAGCAAUACAGCAAAGCAGACAACUGAACUAUUUGUAAUUCGGUAGGAUUACAUGUUGAGGGCACAAGCCAAGAAAGCAGCCCACUCGCAUUACAUUUCACAUGUACUAAAACACACUGGCUUACCAUAUGUUGCUGUGAAGCCUAGCUGCUGUUGCAAUGUUCUUUGAAGAUAUCGUCAGCAUCCCGUGGUUGCAAAUCUAGUUGUUGUAGUUUAUUCUGCACCAUCUAUUUAGGUAAAAUUAAUUUUAAUCGCAUGCACUGGUCCGAAUUGAUCAUCAAUGGUUCAUCUAAACUAAUGAAAGAAGGGUGUGUGCAUACACGACAAUAUACCUGCUUCCCUCUAUUUUUAUGCUUGUUCGAGGUGCCAGCCCCAAAAGAACAAAUAUUUUGCUUGAUGGGGUUGGCAGCUCCAUAAUUAAUAGAAGCAUCAAAUUAGUCAUGCAACUUGGGAAGAUCAAGAACACACAAACAAGUAAUGAACAGAGGCUCGGAGCGGUGAUGUAAUAGCUAGCAUCAGAAAAUGUAGGGUAAAAUGAACAAAAAGCAGCGGAACCACAUGCUAGUUUGCUGAUGUGUAAUUAAGCAUAGAGAACAUUAAGCAGUCUGAUGGAACCAACAGGUGGCAUCAGAACAAAACUAAAGCAUAUUAACUAUAUGUGCACUAAUAUGUAAUUUAGCACAUGUAACAUGUUCACUGCCAGAAGAAUGGCCCUACAGGUGCAAGCAGAAUAACGCGUCUCAUGAAAAACUGAAUGAUGCCCUGAAGAAAUUCAAAGGUGCGGUGCUUAUGCUAGGAAAGUGAACGUAGGCGCCGGCCGUUGGAUAAUAGUACCUGAUUCUCGGCGGCGUAUGGGUAUCGUUGUCAUACUUGAUAGCUAAGGAUCGUCGAUGGUGCUCGUGUUGCGGUUGAGUUUGGGCCGGCUGUCGUCGUCGCUGAAGCGGCUCCGGUGCUACGGUUGCGGUGCCUGUCGACAUACAAGAAAGUUCAUCUGUGGUAAGUGAACAGUUGCACGAUAAAGAGAAAAACCGAAGGAGUACAAAUUGAAAUAACCUGAUGAGGCUGCGGCGUCGGUAAAGCAGGGCCGGUGGAGUUGAAUAUGGUGUCUAUGGAGCGGGUCCGGUGUAGUGGACGAAGGCUUCGACGGGCCUGUUGUACAGUGCUUUCGGUGAGGCGGAUCUGUUGCGGCGGACGAGGGCUUGUAUGAAGGGCCAGCGAAGGGGCGGACGAGGGAGUCAGUGAAGGGCCUACGCUACGGUGGACGAGGGCACCGGUUAAGCAGAUCCGGUGCGGUGGACCAUGAUGGCGGUCAAGGAGAUCUGGAGCGGUGGACAAGCCAGUCGCUGAAGCGGCUCCGGUGAAGUGGUGAGUUGGCAGUUGGGGGUUCCAAGGUGCGGAAGGUAGAUCUGGCGGGGUGUGAGGUCCACCGCUGCGGCGGAGGACUAGAUUCGGCGGCUUGCCGUGGUUGGGGGGGUCGGGGAGGGGAAGGGGAGGGGCUCUGGGGAAGAAUGUUAGGGGCAAAGAGGGGAAAACAAUGGAGUUACCAAAGCAGCCCUUUUCCGUUCAUGUGGCAGGGGUAAAACAGGAACAUCGCAGGGCUAAACUUUCGGGCGCGUGAUAUUUCGAUGUGAGCGGGAAGUUUGAAAGCUUUUCGCACCUAAAAAUAUAAGUAUUCUGCUCUCGUACGACCGACUAUGAUAUCAUGGCCGACAAUUUGUUUGUUUUGCACGCAAAAAAUGUGCAAGUUUUGAAAAUCAAUGUCUCCAACUCGAAACUUAGAUUGUCCAUUCAAUUCAAACAUGGUUCAUUGAGCUACUACAAGCAAAUACCAUCAUACGGUCCAGUUCAAAUGAAAUUCCAAAUGUGUUUAUCCUAAAUAUGAUGACAAAAGCAAAAAUGUGUAUGUGUAUGAAUAAAGUGGAUGAUUAUAAAGUUUGAACAUGCCCGUAUGUGUAUAUCUCUAGGUUUGAUAUAUGAAUUUGAAAUCACAAAAUCCCGGCUUAAAAAAUGUACCUCCGUUUAAAUGAAUUACAAAAGCUAAUGAUGGAGUCGAAUUCCAAAAUUCCAAUCUUAGGUUUGUAAUUCUGGUACAUCAAGGUAUAUCACGCAUGUUGAAAAGUAUCAUUAUCUCAUAGUACAAACUGUGAAACAAAUUGAUCAACCAUGAGUGCACAAUAUCUCAAUUACGCUAAAGUCCCUCAAAUAUAGACACCUCACUCUUUAUCUGAAGUCAACCCCCCACCACCACACACACACACACAUAGAGAAGUCGUUCUCUCCCCCAAACACCAACACACGAGCACAUUAACACCCCUCUCUCUUGUAAAGUCCGGACCCCAACAUAGGUCUCUAUCACUUUGUCUCUCGGGCAUGCACACAUGUCUUCCCUCACUCUCUAGGUCUCCCGCUAUCUCUCUUACCCAAGAACACACACUAUGUAGAGUGUAUAUUUCCCAUACACACAAAACGUUGCCCCCAAACGUCUAUCUCCCUAGUUAUGUGGUUCUCGCGCACUCACCUCACACACCACCCCCACUACAAACAAGCACACUUUGUCUCCUUGUGCACCACUCUCCUCUUUCUAUCUAUCCCACAUGCGGACCCGCCCCAGCUCCUUCCCUGUAUACAUAUAUGUCGUGACUCUUUGCAUAGCUCCCUAAUGUAUAAUCGUUCUCGAUUUCGCACAUUGUUCUCUACACCAUCUAUUCUAGAUCUCUCAUGAAGUCCCUAUCACACACACGAUGACUCGCUUCCCUUGCGUCUCCGUUCAUAGGCCAAUUUCGGAUAACAUCAACAUUGUCUCCCUAUCUAUACGCCAUUUAUGGACACAAACGACCCCUCUCGCCCCCUCUCUUCCUCUCUCUCUCUCUCUCUCUCUCUCUCUCUCUCUCUCUCUCUCUCUCUCCGUCGCUAGCUCUCUCUUUCUCUCGCUCUCACACCCCUCUCCCACACACACACUCGAUGUCUCUUCCAAAUAGUCUGCUCCCCCCACCCGCACCCGUGCUAUCUCGCUACUACACAUGUCACACCAUUCCCCUUCCCUUAUACUAGGUUUACAUCAUCAGUGGUCUCUCUACUCCACAUACACUCUCUCCCUCUCACACACAAACGCAUGCACAAACACACACAGACACGCACAAACACCCAUUUAUCUGGAUCCUCAUCUCUCCUCAUGUCCGCAUGUGUAUCUCACACACUCACUCUCUAAUUAUGUAUAUGUGUCUCCACGUUACACAACACAAAGCCCCAUGUACAUGUCUCUCUCUAUCCUCCACACACAUAGACACAAAGAAUCUGUUAUCAUUGCCUUAGUCUCUAACAUAUCACACACGCACACUGUCUCUCUCUCUCUCGCAAACACGCUCAACAAGGGUUUCCCCGUGAAUAACUUACCGUCUAUUCAUCAACAGUCGUGGCAGUACGGCGAACACGAGACGUGAAAAAAGAAUAAAUCUACACGUGCUUAGACCACCUAGUAUGACUACUAGGACUAGAGCAAGCCAAAAAGCGUGCCGCCGUCACCCCCUCCUUGUCGGCGACGGGAAAAUCUUUGUUUUACACAGUCGAGAAGUCAUUGUGCUAAGGCCCCACAUGCUGAGGUGUUGAAUAGAAUGUAGAUGCUAGUUUACGGAAGCAAGUAUCGAUAAUAUGUUUGUAUCUCCAUACUUAUAUUUCUUCUCUUAUAAAAAACCGAGUUGGUGAUGAUGGUACGUGUGCCAUCUUGCAAUAUAGACCGUCCGAUCUAUAUCUGAUGGAUGGAAAUUAAACUAAAAGAUACCCGCACCCCUCUCCACAUUUGGAGACAAGGCCUUCCCUCGUUCAUCCUUAUCUCCAACAAACCUCAUUGUUGAGCAAUUAAGAAAGGAAGCCUCUGGAACAAACUGGCCUGGUGGCCGCUGCCGGCGUCGUCAAUCCCCAUGCCUCCGCUCAGUCCGACCACCAACCACCACCACACCCCACUCCUCUUCACCUUAUCUCAUAUUUCUCGAGAUAUCAUUAGUUUUUACACAUGGGAUUACUCCCGCAAGGGUCAAUCACAACAGUGUUUUAUAAAAAAAUGCAUCUUGAUGUUCCAUGCAAUGCACGGAUCUUGCUAUUACUCCUACACAAGACUAAGUUGGUGAUGCUGGUGUGUCUGCCAUCCGUCGUUUCUGACCAUUAGAUCUACAUCUAACGAUUGUGAGGUAAGUUGUUGCCUUUUCUUACCAACAUCCCACUUGUCUACCAAUUUGCAGAAAAACCCAUAAUUAGUAUCUUAAAACCAACCACAUCCCUCCCUGACCUCACCCAAACAGCCCAAGGAAUAUAUUCUAAUUGAAACAUAAUAUAUCUCUAGUGACAUAUGUAUAUCAAAAUUAGAGUGUUUUGUACCAAGUUUGUGAAUAAGUAUUAUUCUAAUUAUGAUUCGUUGCAACGGACAUGAACAUUGCUAGUAUUUCCAACCAUGCAUUUUUUCCUAGUAUUCCAUAGUUUCGAGUUUUCCAUCAAGAUAUUAGUCACUCAUGGUUGAUAUUUACUUUCAAUCAUGUACCCAUAUGCACUAUGUAACUAGCCUUGCUUAUUGGCUUCCAAAGCUUAACUUUCACUCCUACUUACAAUAUGUAGAGUAUUUAACAAAAAACUACCACUUUCAGCCAGCCCUAGGAAGAAUCUAUUGUACAAAAAAUAGCAAAAACAUACCCAAAAUUUCUUAAUCCACGCUAAAAACUACCUAGUACUCCUACCGAUUAGGUUCGUUUAAACCCAUUUAUGACAGGGUUGGCCCACACGUCCGUGCUGACGAGGCAGCUUAAACCAACACAUUUUGUUUGACCGUUGACACGAGGGACCCACAUCUGACCUUCUAUCCUGUUAUUCCCCCUCAAAUCAUUAUUUUUCCUGAACAUUACUUCAAACAGUACGGAUGCGUAUUCGUCGGUGGCGCCGGUGAUGAGCGAGUUGGCCGCCGCUCCGCUGGACGGGCCGGAUGCCGCGGUGGCCUCCGCACGGGUUGGCAGGCUGGCCCGAGCGUGACUCACGAGCGAGCAAGCCGCCGCGCUGGCCUUCGCUCGAGCCAGAUGGCUGGCCUUAGCGCGGCGCGCGCGAGCAAGCGGCCGCGCUGCCGUGCCAAUCUAGCUAGCAAACCUUGCAGACAAGCAGCUGGACGGAGCUAUCUUGGCUAGCUAGCGGCCGCGAGCAACGGACGGAGCUGGCAUCCGGGCUACCGCAACAUGGGCUCCGCACCGCCGGCGGUUUUGACCUCGCCUUCUGCCGGCGGCGGUAGCUGCGUCCCAUGGCCGAGGAUGACUAGGAGGACGGGCCAGAGGUAGGAGGUCACUCGAGGAUUUUUGUUGGUAAGAGCAUGUACAAUGGUUGAUAAGGUAGUCUUAUCUUAAGUCUGCCACGUAUGCAAGUGGUAGUAGUUUCUUGGCAUUUUAGUGGUUUCUUGCAUUAUUAGAGCAAGUACAAUAGAGCCGAGUCAGCGGGCUAUAAGAAAUAAACUAGUAUAUUUCUUCUUAGUUGGAGGAAAGAGAAGAGGAGAGAGAAGGUAAGCGGGUUCGUGAAGAGCCAGCUCUAGCACGUGCUCCUAGGCACUAUGUGAGAAUGAGAAGUGGGCCACAUAAUAAAAAAGUAGUACACUCUUUUGAUCUAUUAUUGUACAUGUUGGCUAUAAGAUGAGCUGUAGAUGACAUGGCACUGGCUUAUAGCCAGCAGCUGGCUAUACUAUUAACCAUGCUCUUAGGGGUUUCUUGUAAGGAACAAUGUACGUACUACUAGCGACAAAAGGCGAUUCUAGGUUGCGUUGUACUCCAACGAGUACUACUAGUGGUCGCGGGAGUGUAUACCUCAUUUUGUGGGUUCAAUCCCGGCCGAACGCACGGCGGCCUUUUUUUUAAAAAUAGUACUACUACACUUCGCUGCAAGCCAAUAUUCACGGGUAGUUUGAGUUUUGAAGUCUAACGGACGUGCGGCCCCACAAUCUGGGUGCACUGGAUAGCCUAGCCACGUGAACGGGUUUUCCUUCCCAGCAUCCCGUGGCUCGCGUGCUCGCCCUAGCCGCAUCUCGCUUGCAGCUUCCAGCUAGUAGCAUAUUUAAACUAGCGCCUCCCAAUUAAGCCCGAGGAGCCGGAAAAGCCUGGCGGGGCAUUGGGAACUGUGCAAUAUGGCUCUGUACGUAAAGUGCUCUACUACUACUCUGUAGCUUGUGGCGUUACACGCAUGGACUUCACUCCAUUAUCGGCUCUACUAUAAAAGAAAUUCCUCUUGACGUGUUUUUUUGAAACGGAGGCAAAAGCUGUGCUUCAUCUCAUUCAUAAAGAAGGAACUACUAACAAAGUUUGACGAGAUCCAUUACACCUCCACAAAUGGAAGCGAAAAGCCUAGUCUCGCUGUAUCAAAUAACUCAAAUGUUCUGCCCCCGCAGUAACCGUCGCUGAUAAACAGGCUGUUAGUGUGUGCGUGAGAGGAGCGGCUGAGUAGGCCAGCUACGUGAGAGGAGCGGUUGAAUAGAGCACCGAGAGUACCCACUAGGCCACUACGCAGGUGUACUUCCCCUGCAUUGAUAGUACAGCGAUGGUUCUAGAGAACAAUAGUACCCUCCACUUCCAACUGUAGCUCCUUGGCCCUGAGAUUCAAGAGUUCAAAACUGGUGCACUAUACUAGACUAGACUAGAAGUACAGUAAAACGCACUACUAGUUGAGAAAAGUAGUACUAGUACUGCUACAGUACGAGUACGUACUCCUCCGUCACAUAAUGUAAGACGUUUUUUGACACUAGUUGGCGUGUACAAAAAAUGGCAAAAACAUACCCAAAAUUUCUUAAUCCACCCCAAAAACUACUACCUAGUGCCAAAAGUUUCUUACUAGUGCUAUUAUUUACAGUAUAAUGCAAUCCCAUAACGUUCCAUAAUGCUAGUACUUGUAGUAAAUAAUAGCCUCGCCCCUUCGCUAAGGAACGAUCUACAGUUGGAAGGGACGAGGCCCUGCGGUUACUACGCUCUUAUCUCCUCCUCGCCAGUUCCCCUCCCCCGAAGAGAAGGCAGUUCGUCGCUGCUCCCAUGGAUUCUCUAGGCGGUUCUCCUCCUCGUCGGGGCUGGGAGACCUUGGACGAUGAUCCUCUGGGAGAAAUCGCACGCCGCUCCGACUUCCUCACCGCCGCAAGACUCGGUGCUUCCUGCACCAACUUUUUCAAGACGCUGCUUAAGCAGGCUCGGGAAAAGGCCAUGCUUGUUGGUCUUCCAUGCGUCCUCGAGGAGAAGGUUCUUUUAUGGGACAGUCCUUCGAACAGUCCACCGCUCCCUGGCCAUGGUUGCACGUUGACUCCGCUAGAGUUGCCGACGUUGAGAGGUAGUCGGAUUUUGUCCGAUGAACAGGUCAGUAAUGGAGUUUGAUCAUGUAGUACUUAGUUAUUCCAUUUCCAUCCCGUAAUUUCUCUGCUGCCCACCGUCUUAUAUAUAGGUCUGGGUUGGUGCCAACGAAGAUUGGCUUGCAUACCUCCGGCCGGAUACCACCAUCAUUUUGCACAACAUCCACAGCAGUGCGGCCAUUUCGGUAGACCCCUUCUCCACCAUUGGGAUCGGCCUUCCGGACUGGCUGGGCUUGAGGCUUGAAUACGUAUGAUGAUGCCUACAUGAGAUUGAAGAAGAUAGCAAUUGCGGACCCGCCGACAAAGCGACGCGGCUACGACGAUUACUAUCUCAUCACGGUGUUCGACAUAAGAAUUGCCAUCAAUGCAAGAGGCAGUAACGGCAGAGGCUGGCGCAUGUUGGCGGCGGCAGAUUUGUACCCCUACACGUUCGAAGACGCCGUGUGCCAUCUAGGCCGCAUAUUCGCGGUGACAAGCCAGGUGACUUGUUUCAUCUGGUUGCCAUCCUACGGUACGGGAGAUUACAAACAGAAUGCACAAACCAUCAUUUGCAUCCCUAACGGUACUCCAUUAUUUUGCAGGGACCAGUCAUCCCCCGAUCAAAAUAAGAUCGCCGAUCCUGGAUGUGCAUUUGCAUCCGCGAUUCGGUCUAACCUGGAACCUUGUAGCUGACUUUGGCAUAUUGGGAUCAACUAUCUUAGCAGUCGUUACCCAUGGUACCACUGAUGUGCAACAUGGUCACACAAUCUACCACGAUCGGACCAUCACCAUCUACCCAGGUAUUCCAUUUUUUAACCCUCUCGCCUUCUCUUUCAUUGUUGUACUAGUAGUAUACUUUGUAGUACUAGUAGGAGUACUUUUUACCUUGGAGGACGCGUAUAGCUAGCUAGGCCCUUAAAGACUUGAACCCACUAGCUGCCACCAUUUUUGUUUUUCCAUGUCUUACUAUCUCAUCCAUGUUGCCAAGAGUGGCUAUAUAUAAUAAGCCAGUUAUUUUACUUCCUCUAUACCGGAGUAGUACUAUUUGCUGCACAGUAUUACUGACCGCCAUAUUUGAGCCCAACAUUAUUAUGCAUGGACCUUGACUAUGUACGUCACCAUGUGUCCAGAUCUGGGAUGCCGCGUGUACGAGAUGAACAGCGCCGAGUUCGACCCCCGUGAUGCUACGUGGGUGCCGAGGAACACUCUUGGAGAGUACUCGCUUUUCAUCGGGGACAGCUACCCCAUUGUGAAGCGGAUGCCACCUUCCGUGCAUGACACGGAAGGCCUGCCGUUCAUGAAGCAUGGUUGUGUCUUCAGUGCGCACCGCCGGAUGAACGACAAGCUGGGACACGCUAUCCCUGAUUUAUGCCGCUUCAGCUUGGAUGAGUCUCCAUCGUGUGGAACCGGACUAGAAAGCUGCGACAAUGAUUCCCGUUGCCCACCGCUAUGGAUCGUGCCAUCCAUGAAGAACACAUGGGACUGGAACCUGGAGGAGGACAUGUAGCCCAUCUAUAACAUGUAAGUGGAGUACGGUAAUUGUGAACGGUAGCGCUGUGAAUAUAUGUAGACUAGUCGUGCACAAAUUUAUCACAUGAAUUGGAGAUGAACUUGUGUGGCAUACUAGUAAGUGUGUUACGUGUACGUGCAACUUGUGUGGUUGUUGCACGGGCUCCAACACGCUCUUUGAGAAAAAAAGGUGGCACAACUUUGGAUAUACGUGACGUGGCGACAUCAUACAGUAGCAUCGUUCGCUAUAGUUGUAGUACACUCCUACUAGGAUGCCAACUCCUAUAAAACCUUGCGCUUGGCUCUUUGCCUCUUCGGGAGGUUUAACAGUUCGUACUCUUGUGAACCUUGCACUUGGCUCUUCGCCUCUUCGGAAGGUCCAACAAUGAUGAUACUACAGUACAAUAUGCUUCUGGCAAUCUGACACCGAUUGAACUGCUGCACGUCCACCGCGAGGGCGAGGGCGAGGGAGAGGGAGAGGGAGAGGGCGCUGUAGUCAAAACCCUCUCCUCGUCCUGCGAACCACCGCACGCGUGGGCGAGGGAGAGGCGUAGUAAGCAAGCUUCUCCUCGUUCGGCGAGUUGACGGGACACAUCAAAGCAGUACUAGUACUAGUAGUAGUAGUCCAUACUGCGUCCUUUCCAAUUAAUAUGGCUUAAUUUGAAUCGAGAAAAAUACACUGGCGGUAAACAUAUGUAACAAUACGCUCUUUACGGUCACUAUAUAUAGUUUUGCGGCGAUUAUACGAUCACUAGCUCAUCGUAGAGCACUGUAUUGCACCCUACUGACAGGCCACAUAGUCGACGUGGCACUUUGUUGACUGGUUAAAUUGUCACCUGGUUUCUGGGUCCCACCUGUCAGUUGGCAGAGCAAAGAAAUCAGUGUUGCGUGCGUCCAUGUGUACGUGUGAGUGUUGCAUGUUGCAUGCAUGCAUGCAUGGGGCUUACUCCCUCCCAUUGACAUGUUCAUAUUUCAAGCUUCCUCUGUUCCCUCCAUAUGGUAAUACUCCCUCUGUUCCCAAAUAGUACGGAGUAAAAGCCUCCCUCUGUUCCCAAAUACGGAGUAUUUGUCUUUCUACAGAUUUCAACAAGUGACUAGGUACGGAGCAAAAUGAGUGAAGUGAGCGUAGAGGCAUUGGGAUACUGUAGAAAGGAAGUCCUCGCGAUCCAUUAUUCCCCAUCUCGGUCUGAGAGAACUAUUCAACUAGUCUUCGUAGUGAAGUGACAAUACACACUGUAGUAGAUGGGACACGUAAAUAAUAAGCUGAACCAUCGUGUUGGUGUUACUAAAUCAGCCUUACCCAGUACUGCCAUCAUGUUUGCCAGUAGAGCACGCUUCCGCAAAUAUGCCUACGCACCUCUGUCCUCCAUUAACUGACAUAUGGGCCCUGUUGUGGUAGACCCACAUGACAUCGGUGUAACUAUUUACACUCCGAAGGACGGUAUAUCCUGGUAGUAGUACUAGUAGAAUUGAGAUUGAAUGCACUUUCUUCCCCGUCUUCCACUCUUCUUCCACCUCUCUUCUUCUUCCUCCUCUCUUCUUGUUCCUCCUCUCUUCCCCAUCGUCGGCCGCACACCAUUUACCCCCGCUCACUGCUCGCCCGCCCGCGCCAUCUUCCUUGGUAGCUCGCGCGUACCAUAUCCCCCCACUCACUGCUCGGCCACACAAGGAGAAGCUUCUUUGCUCGCCCGCCCGAAUCCACUUCCCCGCUGGCUCGCAGGCACCGAAAACCCCAAUGGCAGAACCGACUGACACGCAGAGCCGCGAUUGGAAUUCCCUCCCCGAUGUUCUCUUGGAGCAGAUCUGUAGUCGUAUGGAUCUACUCAGCACCGUCCGUCUGGCCGCAUGCUCGGUGUCUUCGUACCGUCUACUCGUCUGCAAUCGGCCGGCUCUUUUCAAGACACCCUGCUUGCUGAUGCCCGAUCCUCGCAGGUGGCCUAGACACCGACUUGAUGAUCCUACGGAGGUUGCCGUGGUGCCCCUCGACAUGCUACCACUACCCGUCCACCUGUCCUUCAUGCGCGGCCACUACUGGGCGGGCAUGAAGGCCAACUAGAUCGUCCUCAUCCACCACACCGGUAGUCUGUGGCGUCUCGUGGAUAUCUACACCCAGCGAGAGAUCACCCUUCCAUCGUUGGAUACCGCCGCCAUCGAGCCUCGCGGCCCGUCGGACACUCCUGCCUACUACGCACGAGACGCGUCAAGCUUUUGGCCCGACCUCUGUUUGCAGAAAGUUGUAAUCUGCGAAGUGCCCACACCAUCCGAAGACUACAUGCAUUACAAGCUCAUUGCCUUGUUCAACAUGGGAUUAGUCUAUCUGGAAUCCGGUCGCCAUACAUGGUUAUGGCUCAUCAUCAAUCUUGUCGAGGCAACAUUUCUGUCUGAUGCUAUAGUGCACGAUGGCAUCGUUCACGCGGUCGACGCAUCGAUUGGCUGCCUAUACUGGUGGAAUCUAUCAUCGUGUAAUUGUUCUAUCUCAUCUCAUCUUUACCUUAUGAAUACGACUGCCUGUUCAUUUGUUACAAAUUUAGAAUGCAUAUCAUGUCUAUAACCACAUCAUUGCUAUAUGUUCCUAUCAUUUCCUAGAUUUUUAUGACCACACAUGUUAUUGUUAGAGUUGAUAUGAGAACAAUUGGCAUCUAAUGAUUGUUAGAAUACAUAUUAUGAGCAUAACAUCUUGAUUGCUAUAUGUUACUCUCGUUUACAAGAUUUUUAUAACAACGCAUGUUAUUGCUUAGAGUUGAUAUGAGAAUAGUAGUAGUAAGUGCUAUGGUAGAAUAUGAGUAGGCGCUGUCAUAGCUGUUUUCCUCUCAUUGUUACAUGAUGUUUGAACCAUGACAUAUUGCUAGAAUAUGAAAGCCAUUGGCUUAUUUUUUUAACUUGGGGUAUGAUUAUGACCACGACAUUGCAAUUCUCUGUCUAUGAUAUGUGUCACUGUUAUAAUAAUCUUAAUUCCACACAUACUCUGAACAUGAUUGUUUAUUUUUGUCAUUUUGGUCUCCAAUUUGAAUUGUUGCAGCAGAUGCAAAUGCGCUGGCCUUCAUGAUUCCAGGACCUGGAAUCAUACCAGCCGAUGGGUGGUGGUUUAUCGCUCGUUCAGCUGACGGCGAUCAUUUGAUGCUCAUUCGCACGUACCAAAUUGACCAAACCAUUACAUCAAACCACAUGCAGUACAAUGCGUGGGGCGUUCAUGACAUUGAUGGCUAUGGCUGCUUCGUGUUCGAGAAAGAUCCCAGCUCCGUUGGGCCAGGCGUAUUCAACUGCAGGCGGGUUUACAGCCCCGGCAACCACUCCUUGUUAGGUGACACAAGAAUCCCGGCGGCGUGUUCGGGUAUUCUGGACUUCAAAUUUGGAGUACCACUUAUUUGUCGAAAUCUUUCAUCAUUCACUUAAAACAGUCGAUUGAUCAUACAUUGAGUACCAUAUAACUGGAAUUACCGAUGCAAGUCGAAGAAGGAUUAGCCGGUGCUGCCGGCUGGCGUCAAGUUUGAUCCCACGGAUCAGGAGCUGAUCGAGCACCUUGAGGCCAAAGUGAGUGCUGACAGCGCGAGAUUUCAGUCUCUCAUUGAUUUGUUCAUACCAACCAUCGACAGCGAGCAGGGCAUAUGCUACACCCAACCUGAGAAACUUCCAGGUAAGACACCGAUCGGCCGUCUACUUGCACAAACAUAUUCCUUUGUUUAUAGCUCUAUUUUUCUUUUUAGACGCAGACCUGGUGAAGCAAUUACAAUUUGACAGUUAAUAAAAAGUGAAAGAAGUGACUGCAACAUGCCAAAGAUGUUAUGAAAAUGCCAACUAGGUACACUAAAACCUGUAUUCCACAAUACUGCAGGUAUCACACUGAGUGGCCUAAGGAAGCAUUUCUUCCAGCACAAUUCUAGGGCGUUCAAAAGGGGCACGUGGACGCAUCGCAAGAUACAGUCAGAGUGCGGCAUGCACGCAAUGUGGCACAAGACCGGCAAUACCUUGCCGGUGAUGGUCAACGGCCGGCAGACGGGCAGCAAAAAAGGUUCUGGUGCUGCACACCAACAAGAACUUCGACCAGCAGAGGACCAACUGGGUGAUGCACCAGUACCACCUCGGGGACCUGGAGCAAGAGAAGGAGCAGGAGCUGGUCCCCUGCAAGAUUUUCUACCAGACGAACACUAGGGCCAGGAGUAAAAAGAUUAUAAGUUAGUUUGGUAUUGGUAGUUGUACUACCUUGUCGUCCGCAAAUUGGUAUUGUUGUUAACGAUCUUUUGGUAUGAACUUGCAUUUGCUUCCAACCAUCAUGCCGAGGGUCGACGUGGAUAUAAAGCUGAAUCAUUUGUUUCAAAACGAAUUUUCAGGCACCUGAUUUUUAUUUGAUGGGUAGCAUAAGCACCCGCCGUUCGAAUUCCCAGUUCUCCAAUUUUUUCGAAACAAGUGCAUGCACUUAUUAUCACGAUAAAAAAACAAUAUCCGUGCUGCAUCCCAGUUAUCAGUCUGUACUUGCAGAAUUCUCUCAUUUAUUGAGCACGUAUAUUGUUUUUUCAGGUCGAGCAAGUUUCAACUGGGUUGUAGACUGCCCAGGGUUGGUUUUGUUUUUAACAGGCCCAGCCCAUGACGACAACGGGGCACAAAGAUCCAGCAGGUAUCUACUGGCCUCUGGCCCGCCAGCGUUACUUAUAUUUUGUCUUACAACAUCCGCAAGCAGUUUUUUUACUAAAUCAAACACACAGCCUAGUUCUAUUUUCCUCUUGAAACGCAUGUCCUACAUCCGUUUUCUAAUCUCUACCUAUAGUUUUACUAGUUCAUAUACACGUAUCAUUAUAUUGAAAACACAUAAAAUUCCCUUUUCAUAUAUACAUCCUUAUUUUUGUUGUUUUUUCCCACCCAGCGCUGUUUUUUACCACUGGUUUUCCUUAAACCAACUCAAUUGUCCCACGUCUUAUUUGCUUACAAAAACAAAACGAUUUUUUUGGCAAAUCAAUAAGUUCUUAAAAAAAUGUUUAUCAUUUCGGGAUUACAACAGUUCGGACUCCACCGAAAUAUGCAAAAUAAGGUUGAACUUUUUGACCGUGGUCCUGGGCAGAAAAUGGGCUGUAAUAAAUUACUUAAGAAUUAGCAAAUGGGCUGCAAAUUAUAAAAAAUAGCAAAUGGGCUUUAUGUUGUCUGCCACAGAUUUGGAGGCUGACUUGUGGGCGUACUAAGUUCAUGCGUACACAAGGUUUCUCAAAAAAGAAACUUAGUCAACAAUCGACUCUACCAGCAUCAGACCGUUAGAUGUCAAUCUAACGGCAAUCGUGCUUCUUCAGUCUCUGAUCUUCCUGCCCCAGCCGCCCAAACCAGCGCCAUCGGAACCGCCUGCUCCCGCCUCCCGUGGCCGGCAAUGCUGCCGGGCAGGCCUCACGGCCCCAUCAUACUAGCAUCCCUGGCCUGUCUAUCCCUCUACUCACCCACACCUCCUGUUAUUUUCCGGCUACGGCAACCGAACCAGUCAACCCUCGUACUCUCCACCGCGUGGGCAGCCACUGCCGUGUCUUCCCCGGCUCCGUGUCGUUCCCUUCGUAGGCCUCGCCAUCGUCCACCGCCCUGGUGCUCUCGGCGCGGCGUGGUCAACGAUGUCCAUCCAACGGCCGUAGUGCUUCUUCAACCUCUGGUCUUCUUGCCCCAGCCGCCCAAAGCAGCGCCGGUCGUGCCGCAUGCUCCUGCCUCCCGUGGCCGGCUGUGCUGCCGCGGAGGCCUCACCGUCCCCAUACUACUCCCACCGCUGGCCAGGCCAUCCCUCCACUCAUCCACUCCCCCUGUUAUUCUGCGGUGACGGCAGCCUCACACCGCAGCCGAACCAGUGAACCCUCGUACUCCUCUCCGCGCGGGCAUCCACUGCCGCGUCUUCCCCGGCUCCGCGUCGUCCCCUUCCUAGGCCUCGCCGUCGUCCACCGCCGUGGUGCUCUCGGCGCAGCGUGGUCAAUGUGGUCAACGACCGACUUCCAUCGGAAGCGUACUGUACGUGGAGAGGCUGACAGCUGGGUCCACGGCAGCCGCAAGGAAGUGCCUCCUUAUUACGCGCAAAAUAAUUAUUCCUCCACCUGACAGCAGGGACCCACCGGACGGGCCACCAGUAUUUUGCGGAAAAAACGUUUGCCCCUGACUGCUGGGACCCACCGGACGGGCCACCGUAUUUCGUGGAAAAAACGUUUGCCCCUGACUGCUGGGACCCACCGGACGGACCACCGUAUUUCGCAAAAAAACGUUCCCCCCGCUGUCAGCUCAGACCCACCGGAAGUGCCUCCUUAUUACGCACAGAAAAAUGAAUACCCCCUGCUAGCUAGGACCCACCAUGGUGGGAGGCUGACUUGUGGGCCUACUAAGUUGACGGGGACGGAGGGCUUUGUCAACUUAGUCAAUAUGGACGAUUCUAGCUCCAGUGACCGUACGAUGUCCAUCCAACGGCCGUCGUGCUUCUUCAAUCACUGCUCUUCCUGCGCCAGCCGCUCGAACAAGCGCCGGCGGGACUGCCUGCUCCCUCCUCCCCACGGCCGGCUCUGCUGCCGCGCAGGCCUCACCACCCCACCGUACUCCCAUCGCUAGCCUAGCCAUCCCUCUACUCACCCACACCUGCUGUUAUUCUCCGGCGACGGCAGACGAACCAGUAAACCCUCGUACAGUCGUACUCCCCUCCACGUGGGAAACAACUGCCGAGUCUUCCCUGCCUCCGUGUCGUUCCCUUCCUAGGCCUCGCCGUCGUCCACCGCCCUGGUGCUCUCGGCGCGGCCUGGUCAACGUGGUCAACGACCAACAUGCAUCUGAAGUGGACUGUACGUGGAGAGGCCGACAGCUGGGGCCACGGCCGCACGCAAGGGAGUGCCUCCUUAUUACGCUCAAAAUAAUGAUUCCUCCACCUGACAUCAAGGACCCACCAAAAGGGCCUCUGUAUUUCGUGAAAAAAACUUUACCGCCACUGACAGCUCGGACCCACCAGCUAUAUCUUCGCACGCAAGGAAGUGCCUCCUUAUUACGCACAAAAAAAUGAAUACUCCUCCUGUUAGCUGGGACCCAGUAUAGUGGCAGGCUGACUUGUGGGCCUACUAAGUUGACGGGGACGGAGGGCUUUGUCAACUUAGUCAAUAUGCACGAUUCUAGCUCCAGUGACCGUACGAUGUCCAUCCAACUGCCGUAGUGCUUCUUCAACCUCUGGUCUUCUUGCUCCAGCCACCCAAACCAGCGCCGGUCGUGCCUCGUGCUCCUGCCUCCCGUGGCCGGCUGCGAUGCGGUGGAAGCCUCACUGCCCCCUACUACUCCCACCGCUGGCCAGGCCAUCCCUCUACUCACCCACACCCCCUGUUAUUCUGCGGCGACGGCAGCCUCACACCGCAGCGAACCAGUGAACCCUCGUACUCCUCUACGCGUGGGCAUCCACUGCCGCGUCUUCCCCGGCUCCGCGUUAUCCCCUUCCUAGGCCUCUCCGUCGUCCACCGCCCUGGUGCUCUCGGCGCGGCGUGGUCAACGUGGUCAAGGAACGGCUUCCAUCGGACGUGGACUGUACGUGGAGGGGCUGACAGCUGGGUCGACGGCCGCAGCAAGGAAGUGCCUCCUUAUUAUGUGGAAAAUAAUUAUUCCUCCACCUGACAGCGGGGACCCACCGGACGGGCCACCGUAUUUCGCGAAAAAAUGUUUCCCCCCUGACUGCUGGGACCCACCAGCUACACCUUCGCACGCAAGGAAGUGCGUCCGAGCAAAAAAAAAACAAAACGAUUCGCCCCCCUGACUGCUGGGACCUACCAGCUACAUCUUCGCACGCAAGGAAGUGCCUGACAGUCGGGACCCACCUGGUCUAAGCGUACGUAGCGUUGUCAUUCUGGUCGCGAACGUGUACGUACGUAUAUACUGGUGGAUGUAGAGGCGCGCACGUGUCGUAGUAGAGGCGUGUACAUGUCGUAGUAGAGACGCACACAUAGCAUGUACACGUACGUAUAGCGGCCAGGGUGCAAGAAAGAAAAUACGGCCACGUAUGUGUAUAUACGGGCGGGGUCUCGAACGCCUACUCGCGCAUACGUACGGCCAGGGCUCGUGUACAUGGCUGGGUCGGAACGGAGAAACAGCGUCGUCGUCGUGUUCAUGGGGAGGCAAUGGAAUGCGUCGUGUUCAUGGGGAGGCAACGGAAUGCGUCGUGUUCAUCGGGAGGCAACGGAACGCGUGGGAGCCAACCGGCUGGGUCGGAACGGAAUGCGUGGUCGUGUUCAUCGGGAGGGCUUGGACGGAACAGGCGAUGGAAACGAGGCCUGGCGUACCGCAGAACGGAGAAAACGGACCUCCUACGGUCGAAACGGGGGUCCUAUUGAUCGGGAGGGGUGUGGCGUACCGCAAAACGGAGGAAACGGACCUCCUACGGUCGAAACGGGGGUCCUGUUGAUUGGGAGGGGUGUGGCGUACCGCAAAACGGACGAAACGGACCUCCUACGGUCGAAACGGAGGUCCUGUUCAUCGGGAGGGGUGUGGCGUACCGCAAAACGGGACUCCACGGGAUACUGUUCAUCUCCACCGUCGACCUCCUCCAGCCUCCACGGGCUACCGUCGACCUCCUCCAGCCUCCACGGGCUCCUGUUCAUCCAGCCUCCACCGCGCGCUACUCCACCAGCUACUGUUCAACCACCCCUCCACCGUCUACUGUUUAUCCAGCCCUCCACACCACGGGGUCCUGUUCAACCACCCCUCCACGGGCACCCCUCCACCGUCUACUGUUCAUCCAGCCCUCCACACCACGGGGUCCUGUUCAUCCAGANNNNNNNNNNNNNNNNNNNNNNNNNNNNNNNNNNNNNNNNNNNNNNNNNNNNNNNNNNNNNNNNNNNNNNNNNNNNNNNNNNNNNNNNNNNNNNNNNNNNNNNNNNNNNNNNNNNNNNNNNNNNNNNNNNNNNNNNNNNNNNNNNNNNNNNNNNNNNNNNNNNNNNNNNNNNNNNNNNNNNNNNNNNNNNNNNNNNNNNNNNNNNNNNNNNNNNNNNNNNNNNNNNNNNNNNNNNNNNNNNNNNNNNNNNNNNNNNNNNNNNNNNNNNNNNNNNNNNNNNNNNNNNNNNNNNNNNNNNNNNNNNNNNNNNNNNNNNNNNNNNNNNNNNNNNNNNNNNNNNNNNNNNNNNNNNNNNNNNNNUCGAUCGGCUUCAGUUAGCAGCAGUAGCGAAGGAAUCGCUCGAUCGGGUUCAGUUAACAGACAUCGAUCGAUCGCUCGGGUUCAGUAAUGCGUAGCCUGCAGUGUAAUCGCUCGGGUUCAGUUAGAGCCCAACCCCUCGCUCGGGUUCAGUUAGAGCCAACGCCUCGCACACACGCGCGUACGUGUACGAGAGAAACGCACAUCGCUCGGCCCCCGACCUACCACCGUAACCGGGAACUCCCCGAAAUUUUCCUCGCCCUCGCUUCUACCAUGGUUUUUUCCGUCAUGGACGGCCCAAAGAAUGUCAUGUAGCUGCGUCUCCGCCCGCCCAGGACGAAAAGCCCAUUUUCUGUCAUGAUUUUUUGUCAUAGAAGUAGGAGCCCACCACAUCUAUGAUGAUACCGGGUUUUGUCACAAUUAUCGUCAUAGAAGUGUCACAUGUAUGACAGAAAAAAAUUUCGUUUGGCCCAAAAUGUCACGGAUGUGUCUUUUUUUGUAGUGUAAGGGGCCUCUGAAACCGGGACAAAUGGGCCGGUUUCUACCAGUGGAAGCUCCAUCCUCCUUUCUCGUCCUCUCUUCCUUUUCUCAUAUCAGCUUUCAUCCAUCUCCCAUACUGUUGCACCUCACCUCUCCCUAGUCCAAUAGAACACGCCUUGUCCACGUGUCCAAUUAUACCACACGUGUAACAAAAAUCAGGGAGGUACUCAUACUCUAGGGGGCACCAUUUUUGCUCAUCAUCUUUCUUCUUUCUUUUAUCCACGUCCAUCACUUCUGCAGACUCCUUGUCUUCUCCCGUUCAAUAUCCAAAGUGAUUCCUCUCAACAGUGGCUUUGUAAUGUCUAGUCUAACUUUCAGCCUAAGGAAACUUCCAGCCACAUUAUCAUCAUCCCCCUGGUUACCUCCAUGAACUCGCCAAUCUCGUCACCAAUGAUCCCUCCGUUUUCUUCACUCAUGAAACCUAGCGGCAUCUUGGUCACCCUGACCCAAAUAGGGAUGAUAGUGAACUCAUACUCUUCUAGCGUUUUAGCUGGGUCGAAAUCUACCAUCACAAUCAGGUUCUUGCCCACCAUCCAUGGCCCUUCCUCCAAUGCUUUCCUCUUCCCCGCUGCUUGCAAGAAGGUGAAAAGAAAGGUGUUGUCCUCUAACUCCUUGCACUUGAUUCCCUUGAUCGGACACCACGCUCUUCCGAGGGAUUUAAUCAUACCUUCCACAUAUACUGGUUUGUCGGACAUAACCUUACCGAUCGCCUGUGGAUCUUCCGUUCCCGUUCUCCUCAACCCGCCCCUUCCGAUCUUGACUCCCUUCUUCUCUGCUUCUGGCAACCGCAACUUCUGCAUCAAACCUUCCACUUUCUCCAUUGUGUCGAGGACUUGCAUCAAUCUAUGGUUUACUAGGUGGUUGUAUUACGAAUGGAUGCCCUAGCAACACUCGUAAGGCUUUUGGUGGAUGGGUGAGCGGUCUCGAGAUCAAUCUAGCAAGGAUCGCCGAGGCUAGGGGGAGAGUUUGCUGGCGUCGGCCAGAGACGGGGUCGCCUGAGGGGACUCUAGGGUUUACCAGGAGUCACCGUAGAAUCCCCUGGGAAUCGCCCAAGCGCCAAUCAUGGAACCGUCACCCAAGGGACGGACGGGUUAAGGAUGAUAAUUAAAGCGGACUUUGAUAGAGAGACACGUGAGAAAUAGAGUGAUAGAGAGAGAUACGUGAAAAUUAAAGCGGUUUUAAUUUCUUUCUUUUCUGUAAUUAAAGAGAUACGCAUGAGAAAUAGAGAGAUAAGAGAGAUACCUGAGAAUUAAAGCUGUUUUAAUUUUUUCCGUUUCUAUGAUUAAAGAUCUGAUCUACACAGUUACAAUCUUGACCUGCAAAAUCAACGGCCUCCAUUUUCUAUUUUUCUCUAAUUAAUGUGGGAAUUUCUUGGGAGUGCCUAUUAGUAUAGGUAUAUAUAUGUGCAAAAAUCUCGACAUUAAUGAACAUAUAUCUGGUGCACUUGCAAUCUUUUGUAGUACAUUAAUGAAUAUUUAAAGUAUUUUCCAACUCUUGCUAUUUAUAGACUUGUCGUCCGUGUCUGCCACAUUUGGAGUCCAACUAUUUCCUACUGGAACCUUACACUCCACUAGAACUGAGUUUGUCAAGUAACAGAUAACCAAUAUGAGAGGGAGCAGCCUAGUGCAGGCGACGAUGAUAUUCUUCAUUGGAUGCCUUGUGCUUUGUGCACAGUGUAAGUAUAUAUCAUCAUCGUCUUUAGAAUCUUGUGUUAACUUCUUGCCACUAAUUCUUCGGAUCAGACAUACAUACACACACACAUCUGCGGUACUGCAUACUAAGGUUAAAUAUACUAUACAGGUGCUCUCGAUAAUAAGCAAAGGAUGGUCAACCAGGAUGAUCAUGCGGCGAACACAAGUACCAACGCUACCAUCAUCAACUCAACAACUGUAGGCGAGAGCAAGAAAACCGAGAAAUUUUGCAGCCUCUUUCUCGUAUGUUAUUUCAACAUUGAGAUUCGUGCUGAGUGCUACUGUUGCGAGAAUAAGAAUGCCGACUGUUACAAGACGAAGAGUGAGUGCCUGCAAAAGUGCCAUUCCUACAACGGUUAAUGCCCACCUUCAUCGCGGUCUUUGGGAUAGAAUUCCAUAUGCUUGGAAAAUUUGCCCGUCGGUAAUAAAAGGCACCUUAUAUGGUUUGGGCAAUUAGGUUCCAAUUAAACAUGAGAAAGCCCGCAUGUUUCCGUGUAGAUCCAACAAGGAAAAAUUUGAUGAAAGAAAUCCAAGUAACUAGUUGUCUUGCAUAUUUACAAAGUUCAAAUCCUUUGGUUGUUGUGCUUUGACUCGAUUGUCUAUUAUGCUGUUUCAUUUACUUGCACAUUGCCCACUUGUUCAUUUAACACACAUCACCCACUUGGUGAUUUG
rnacentral:lncRNA from 1 species